rnacentral:lncRNA from 1 species
UAUCAGAGAACAGAGCAUAUCAUUAACAUCUCUGCUGCUAAUAUCAAUUCUGGUUGGAAUCACUGUUUUAUGUAUCACGAAGCUCUGGUAUCCAAAGAAAUUUUGCCAGAUCUCAUUGAUGCACUGACAAAUGCCAUGGAAGUUGUUAAUUUUUGUUCAAGGAAGAUCGCUGAGUAGCCAAAUUUGAGCUAUGUUCUGAUCAGAAGCUGGGGCAAAUCAGACCCACUCAUUGUAAAUUAUUCAAGUCUUUGUUAAAAACACGGAGUUCCCCUUGUGGCUCAGCAGGUUGAAAAUCUGACCAGUAUCCAUGAGAAUGGAGAUUCGAUUCCUGGCCUCAAUCAGUGGCUUAAGGAUCCAGCAUUGCCGCAAGCUGUGUUGUAUGUCAUGGAUGUGGCUUAGAUCUGUCGUUGCUGUGGCUGUGGUGUAGGCCUGCAGCUCGGAUUAGAACCCUAGCCUGGGAACUUUCAAAUAUGGCAGGUGUGACCCUAAAAAGAAAAAGAAAAUUACUAAACAUGGGCUAUGCUUAGAAUGAGAAGCACAUUUUCUAGUUGAAAAUCAAUCUCACUCACCAAAUAUUUGAAGAUCAUAUUUGGGCAAUGCAAUUGGCAUAUUUAGUUAAUUUAUGGCAUUCUUUUUAAUUACAUUUGAAACCACAGAGAAGCAUGAUUUCAACACAUUCGGGAUAUGUUAUUAUCUUUUUUGUCUUUUGUCUUUUUAGGACCGCACCUGUGGCAAAUGGAGGUCCCCAGGCUAGGGGUCUAAUCAGAGCUACAGCGGCCUGCCUACACCACAGCCACAGCAACGCCAGAUCGAAGCUGUGUCUGUGACCUACAUCACAGCUCACGGCAAUGCCAGAUCCUUAACAUGCUGAGCGAGGUCAGGGAUCAAACCUGCAACCUCAUGGUUACUAGUCGGAUUCUUAACCCCCUGAGCCACAACGGGAAAUCCUAGGAACACUAGUUUUUUUUCCUUAUGCAUUUAAGAACAUUUUUUUGGAGUUCUCUUGUGGCACAGUAGGUUAAGAAUCCAGCAUUGUCACUGCUGCAGCUUGGGUAGCUAUUGUGAUGGAGGUGCAAUCCCUGGUCCAGGAAGAUCCAUAUGCCAUGGGUGCAAAAAACAAAACAAAACACUUUUCUGAGAAGAGUCCAUAGUCUUCAGAAGACUGUCAAAGGGAGUCUGUGGGACAUAACUGUUGACGAAAAUCUCUAUAUAGAAAUGCAACUGAUUGAUUUCUAUACAAUCAAUUGCAUUUCUAUAUGCUAACAGUGAAAGAUUAGAAAGAGGAAUUAGGGAAACUAUCCCAUUUACCAUCCUAUCAAAAAGAAUAAAAUACCUAGGAAUAAACCUACCUAAAGAGACAAAAGACCUGUACUCUGAGAACUAUAAGACAUUGAUGAAAGAAAUCAAAGACGAUACAAACAGAUGGAAAAAUAUACCAUGUUUUUGAAUUGGAAGGAUCAGAACUGUCAAAAUGACUAUACUACCCAAGGCAAUCUACAGAUUGAAUGCAAUCCCUAUCAAAUCAUCAAGGACAUUCUUCACAGAACCAGAAGAAAACAUCUUAAACUUUGUAUGGAAACAGGAGUUCCCGUCAUGGCUCAGUGGUUAACGAAUCAGACUAGGAAUCAUGAGGUUGCAGGUUUGAUCCCUGACCUUGCUCAGUGGGUUAAGGAUCCGGCAUUGCCGUGAACUGUGGUGUAGGUUGCAAACUCGGCUCAGAUCCCAUGUUGCUGUGGCUCUGGUGUAGGCUGGCAGCUGUAGCUCUGAUUAGACCCGUAGCCUGGGAACCUCCAUAUGCCGCAGGUGCAGCCCUAGAAAAGACAAAAAAGACCAAAAAAAUAAAUAAGUAAAUAAAUAAAAUUUGUAUGGAAACACAAAAGACCCCAAAUAGCCAAAGCAAUAUUGAAAAAGAAAAAUGGAACUGAAGUGAUAAGAUUCCCUGACUUUAGACUAUACUACAAAGCUACAGUCAUCAAAACAGUAUGGCACUGGAGUUCCCUUUGUGGCUCAGCAGUUAAUGAACCCAACUAGGAUCCAUGAGGAUUGGGGUUCAAUCCCUGACCUCACUCGCUCCGUGGGUUAAGGAUCUGGAGGUAAGGUAAACUGCAGUGUAGGUUGAAGACAGGGCUCAGAUCUGGAGUUGCUGUGGCUGUAGUGUAGGCCGGCAGCUGCAGCUGGGGUUCAACCCCUAGUUUGGAAACUUACAUAUGCCAUGGGUGUGGCCCUAAGGAAAAAAAAAAAAAGAAAAGAAAAGAAAAAAGAAAAAAAAUUCCCCUCAAAACAGAAACAGACAUAUGGACCAAUGGAACAGAAAAGAGUGCCCAGAGAUAAACUCAGAUCUUUAUGGUCAAUUAAUCGUCAACAAACGAGGCAAGAAUAUAAAAUGGGAAAAAGAGUCUCUUCAACUCAUGAUGCUGGCAAAACAGGACAGCUGCAUGUAAAUCAAUGAAACUAGAACACACCUUCACAUCAUGCGCAAAAAUAAACUCAAAAUGACUUAAAGACUUAAAUAUAAGAUAAGACGACCAUCAAACUCAUAGAAGAGAACAGAGGCAAAACAUUCUCUGACGUAAACCGUGUAAAUGUUUUCUUAUGUCAAUAUCCCAAGGUAAUAGAAAUAAAAAGAAAAACAAACAAAUGGGUUCUAAUUAAACUUACAGGCUUUUGCACAGCAAAGGAAACCAUAAAAAAAAAAAAAGAAAAAA